CGGUGCGCGGCCCCGCGCGGCCCCGCGCACCGCUGCGGGAAGCAGGCGGUGGCGGUGGCGACCCCCCGGUGCUGGGCUCUCCCCGGAGCAGCCCGCAUCGCCCCCAGAAAACUUGAGCAAGAGGUGAUGUGUCUGACGACCACGUAGUUGGCUUCCCCUAGCACACACGAGAGUGACAGUCAUCUAAGUUAUAGUUUAAUCCGAUGAACAGGAAAUCCUGGCAAACAGGGGAGCCCAUUCUGCAUGCCAUCAUUAGCAGGUACCUGAGAAAGUCGAGAAGCUCCUUUGCACGUCUCAGAAUUGUAUUCAGGGAAGAAGAAGGUGUCCUGUCAUGAGAAAAUGGAAGAAAUAUGCAGUGAGAGAAGAAAUGAUGUUCUAAAACUGAGUCCUAUUCUUUUUUUUUUUUUAAUGUGCAUCAAAAGAGAAUAUUAAGUAGUGUCUACAAUUUAGAAGAUUCAUCAAGAACCCCGAUAAGUACAAAUUAAGAACCUGUCUCUGAUCCAUCCUUCAUAUUCCUUGUUUUUAAUUUAGACUUCGACUGAGCCAGAGGUACAGGAGCGUCUGGGAAGAAUCUGAAUAAAAAAGCAAGAGCAGAAAUGGUGCAGUGUUUGCCUUUGCCAUUUUUAUUUUUCAUUCUCUAUAUACUAUGGCUUCAAAAUAAAACCUCAAGAUUAGAAAGCAAUAUGAGCCAUAAAAGCUAGGUUUUGAAAGUAAAAGACUCCCGUUUGCUCCAUAAACAAGGAAGAAGCCUGGGCCAGAGCCAAUGAAACUGAAGUAUUCUCAGGCCUGUCCUGGCAAUUUUUAUGGCAUAUAAAGAGCAGGUACUAGAAUGACAGUCACUGAAGUGAGGCAAAUUAAGGAGCAACAGCAGUUGUAGCAUAUCAAAAAGAGCAAUCAGGAUUCUGGCUUUGGGCCCAAGCUGCCAUUGGUUUUCUUUUGUACAUCAGCCAUUGUGUGACCAAGUAUCACCACUGCCACAACUAGAUGUACAGACUGGGGAGUCAGGCAAAUCACGAGGGCAAAUCAGCAGAAGGUGA